rnacentral:tRNA from 1 species
AGUCCGGACUUGUCGAACUGCAAAUUCGAUUUUGGGUUUGUUCCCCCGGACUU